CGCGAUAUUCGGAGUGAUAUCUCUGGUUGCAACAUUAACAGUGUCGUGGGCAUUGUCAUAUUUUACUUCAAUUAUCUAUGACAAUUUUAUCAACAUCGGAAAGUAUGACUGUUGUUUAUUCACACCGGAGUACAGAUUUAAAAUUAUUUGUUUUAUGAAGAGAUUCGGAGGAAGA